rnacentral:rRNA from 1 species
UACGAAGGGGGCUAGCGUUGUUCGGAUUUACUGGGCGUAAAGCGCACGUAGGCGGAUUGUUAAGUCAGGGGUGAAAUCCCGGAGCUCAACUCCGGAACUGCCUUUGAUACUGGCAAUCUUGAGGCUGGAAGAGGUUGGUAGAAUUCCCAGUGUAGAGGUGAAAUUCGUAGAUAUUGGGAAGAAUACCAGUGGCGAAGGCGGCCAACUGGUCCAGAUCUGACGCUGAGGUGCGAAAGCGUGGGGAGCAAAC